rnacentral:lncRNA from 1 species
CCUGGGCUCCUACCAAAGGGAAUUAGGGAGGGCGAGGCUUUAUUUUUUCUUUUCCCUUUGACUACAUCUGGUGUCAGGUGUCCCGGAUUUGUGGCAGCAGGUGUGAUUUGAAGGAAAAGAACAAGUGAAAUGGCGGCCAAGCUCAAAGUGCCCUGGGAAGCUGCCAGAGAGCCUGUCAUCUCCUCCUUGGCGGCUCACCUGAGGACCUUCCUUGCAGGUGCCCUGGAUUCCAAGCAGGAUAGGCAAAUGUGGGGGUGGGGCUGCCCUCCUUGUCAUAAGCUGUGGGAGUUCUAUCCUGAUGCAUUUGUUUGCUUACUGAUCCCCUCGCCUCAUGAACAUGAAUGACCAGGUCACAUUUCCAAGUCUCUCCUGGAAGCCACACUCCCAGUGCCAGCUGCACACUGCCAGACAUACCUUGGGGCUUUCCUGACUUCCUCACAGAAAGUUCCACAGCUUGCCAACAGGCAGCCUGUGUGUCUCUAGGAUGUCAGCAGCUAUCUGGUGUCUACUUUAAGAUGUCUAGCCCGUUUUGUGAGUGUGUAUGAGCAAAUCUGACAAGGUAUACAAGUUAAAAGGAAAAACUGAAGUGCAAUCUAUGAAGUUGUCUAUCUCAGGUAUUAAGAGAAGUUUUUGCAAAGAGAAGUUUUGUGGAGACCUUCUUAAACCCAGCCACAGCUAUCUUUGGACUUUCUCUAUGUCUUAAACAUCUGUAAUCUAAACCUAUGAUUGUCACACCCUUCUGCCUCCUCUGGCAAUGUCUCAUAAUUUCAAACAAAGGCAGCCAAACAUCUACAAUUAGUAUUCAACAGGCAAAGGUGGUUAAUUAUUGUUCGCCUGUUAAAUGAUGACAUAUCAUAAAGGCUCUAUCUCUGGCCUGUCGUUGCACUACAGUCUGAAUGCUGUCCUUCUACAAACACUCACUUCACAAUGUUUGGGAGAUGCUAUGGGAUGGUGAACUUUUAUCCUUGCAUGCCGGAUCCAUAUCAAUGCAGCUUUGUAAGUCUGGGAGGGCACCGCUGUAGCCAGGAUGUUUGUUCUAGGCAGCGUGAUGCCGACGACGCACAGGCUGGGUUCUGGCUCUGUGCUCUUAGUUUGUUUUCUUGUUUGUGCUCUCCUAAACAACCUUGAAAAUCCCAGACAGGGUGGUGAAAUAUGACCUUCACUUUAUAUAGUUCAUAGCCAG